UACCCGUGAAACAUGUGAAUCCGUUGAUUAUAACAAAGAUACGGUUCCGAUGUCGUCACGGUAGACUAUGAAAGUUCUGUACUCCUGUUUUUAGUCCAACCCCACGACUUGACAAGGUGGUGGAGCCACGGAGGUAUCUUGUUCCUGCCUUGACGCGCAUUAUCAUGCUUAAGACCUUGGAAAAGAAAUAAUCAAAGGGAGAUGAGUGGUGCUCCAUUAACAUCCUCCAUGGUACAAACAGAACUAUUGCAAAGGUGGUUGAAUGCAAGUUGUGGUCAAAUGGACAGUUAAGUUUGCUCAAUUUAUCAGAUAUUACCCAUAUGGUAGUAUAUUGAUCAGCAGUAGAACUCGUUUUGGUAGACCUUGUUGAGAUUAUGCCUAAUGCAUUGCUGCAUUCAGUCACCUACUUGUGUGCCUGUGUAGUGCAAAUAUAAAAAUUUUCUUAGUGAUUUCUUUUCCAUCCUUGGUGAAUGGCAGCGAGGAAUAGAUUAGAAAAUUCCUUGCUGGAUGGAUGUGGAUGAGUUGAGAAUAAUAUAUUCUCUUGGUAUAAUCAUGUUGGGGAAUUAGCACUAUGAGGGCAGGGCAAAUAAAGGUACUUCGAGAGUACAGUAUAUCAUUUACAAUUAGAAUCUAUGUUGUGCACAUAGGACAAUCAUUUUUUAUACUUUGUAAUCUGUCUGAACCACAUUGGUUGCUCCUCUCUCCCUGUCUCUCUUCAAUUGCCAGAUUGCUACAGACUCAUAGAUAGGCAUGCAUUUAGAUGUCCUUUAUGCUAUUUUUUUCACUAUCCACAAAACAUGUAAUAUAGCAAGGACGAUGCUGUGUUUCAAGUGUAAAUUCUCUGCCAGAUGACUUAGAGAAAUACUUUUCAUUUGGUAGGUAGGCGGGAGUGGGGGUUCGAACUUGGGUACCAUUCAAUUCGAGUAUGUCUUAACCAUCUCGGUUGAGGAGUUGUUGGCUUGUUAGGGAAAUACACACAACUAUAUUCAUGAGUUUUGAUUUUUGUGAACGCAUUUGCAUUAUUGAUAUGUGAUGGGGAAUCUGUGUUGGAUACAAGUGCUGAAUGAUCAAUUUCAAUUGCAAAGCAAAGAUGCCCACUUCCUCAAAAGCUUUGGUUGUUGAUUUGGCAGCUAGGAAUUGCUGUAAUCUGAUUUGGCAAUCUCUUAUUAGUUCCUUUUCCUUUUUCUUUUUUUUUUUUGUUGAG